rnacentral:misc_RNA from 1 species
ACGGCUGUAGAUAACAUCAAAUGUAUUGUCAGGAUAUGUCUUCUUUGUGCAGUCAGCAACUUCAAACUUAACAGUGCAUUUGAGUCCAGUGGCAUGUUCGAGGGCAAAUAAAAUCAUAUUGAUGGAGAGAUCAAUGCCAACAACUUCCACACCAAAGUUCUCAGCCAAGUAAAAGUCAACUCCUCCAAUACCACAUCCAACAU